rnacentral:tRNA from 1 species
GAUAGGGUGACUGAUUUAGGUGAUAAAUUGUAAAUUUAUUUAAGGGUAGAUACUCUCCUAUUA